UGGUCGUUGGCUGGGAAUAUGGUGCAAACAUGUUGAUGAAGUACUUGGCAGAAGCUAGAGAGAAUACAUUGCUUACAGCUGCCAUGUGCAUAGACAAUCCAUUUGACUUAAAGGAGGCUACAAGGUCCUUUCCUUAUCACAUGGCCAUUGGUCAGAAGUUCACUGGUGGACUGAUAGAUAUUCUAAGAUCUAAUAAGGAAACCCCCAAAUCAAAAACCAUAGCCCCUUCCUAUCAAAAAAGAAAAGAAGAAGAAGAAGAAGAAGGAAAACCAUAGCUUCUCAUCUGUUUCUCUCUCCAGUCUCUAUGCUUUGCCUUUAGUGCACCUUCUCCUUUGUCUCUGCUCCUAAUGAUGAAUUGGGAUUGAAGGGAGCAAAAUCAAGAUGCCGUGGACGUCCUCUUUUGAUUCAAAUUCGUAAAAGCUUCCUUACUCUCUUUCUCUCUCCAUGUGGCGUGAGGUCAAAUAUUUGCUUUCUCUGUUCUAAAUAACAAUUUAUAGAACUCAAUGUUUUAUGUUAAAUAAAUAUAUGAUGUACUCUUCUAUAUAAUGCAGAUUUGUUGUAUUAUGUUCUUUCUCUACUCUUUUUGAGUCAUA